CAUGAAUAUUUUUUUUUUCUGUUUGUAACCGAACUAAUAUUUAAGUAUAACAAAGUAAUAUAAUUUGAAGGUAAGUGAAUAAAUUUUAGUAAAAAUUAAAACAUACUGCUUGAGACAUAAAACAUAUGGAAGCUUGACAUUGACAUCAGUACUAGUUAAGUAGAGUCAUAACAAGCAUUUUAAUAAUAAUGGGUAGUAAAAGGAAAACGUCGAAAACAUUUGGACUAGGCUCUGGACCAGCAAAGGGCAAAAGAACAAGUAUAAGAUGUGGAAGACCAACUGUUAAUUUCAUAAUUAGGAGAAAAAGGAUUAAGCGGAAGUCUCUGCCGCUGUCCCUCGUUUUAAAGAGAAUCAAACAGACAACAAUUAGUAAGAAAAAAAAACACCAAAGAAUGCCAUAAAUUUUUCACUUCCGUACUAUUAGAACAUGGAUUAAAACUG
rnacentral:lncRNA from 1 species